GACGAACGCUGGCGGCGUGCUUAACACAUGCAAGUCGAACGGGAUUUAGUAAACAGAAGCCUCGGUGGAAGAUUACUAAUGAGAGUGGCGAACGGGUGAGUAACGCGUGAGCAACCUGCCUAUGACAGUGGGAUAGCCUCGGGAAACCGGGAUUAAUACCGCAUAAAAUCGUAGAAACACAUGUUUUAACGGUCAAAGAUUUAUCGGUCAUAGAUGGGCUCGCGUCUGAUUAGCUAGUUGGUGAGAUAACAGCCCACCAAGGCGACGAUCAGUAGCCGGUCUGAGAGGAUGACCGGCCACAUUGGAACUGAGACACGGUCCAAACUCCUACGGGAGGCAGCAGUGGGGAAUAUUGCACAAUGGGGGAAACCCUGAUGCAGCGACGCCGCGUGAACGAAGAAGGUAUUCGUAUCGUAAAGUUCUGUCCUAUGGGAAGAUAAUGACAGUACCAUAGAAGAAAGCUCCGGCUAAAUACGUG
rnacentral:rRNA from 1 species